AGAAAUAAAGAAGCACAAUUUUGGUGUUUGUGUUCCUCCUGGAUCAAAAAUAUAUCUACAAAAGAUAGCAAAAAUGAGUAUGAAGAAGAUAUAAGCAAAGAUAAGAAUACAAAAGAAAAAUCUUGUAUUUUUGAAAAAGAUUUUCUGAAAAUUAGAAUAUGGAUUGGCAAUUGUUUUUAAAGAAAAAUUAAUAAUGGAAGAGUGAAAAAUAAUUGGAAAAGAAGUAAAGAAUGAGAACCCUUCCCUUUUAGGUUCCACUGUAAUGUUAAGAUUAGGAGUUGCCAUCAGUAGCAAGAGCUCCUUCUCUGUAUUUUCCUCUUCUUCCUUAUUUUCUUCUUCUCUUUUCUUUUCCUCUUCUCUUUUCUCUCUUUCUCGUCUCUCUUCUUCCUUUCUCUCUUCUUCUUUCUCUCUUUUCUCUUCUUCUUUUAUUCUCUCUUUUUCUCUUUUCUCUUUUUUUUCUCUCUCUCUUUUCUUUCUCUUUUCUUUAUCUCUUCUUUGCUCUUCCUUUUUUCUCUCAGCAUCUAGUCUCUGAACUUUCAACUCUAGUGUCUCAACCUUUAACUCCUUAAGUCUAAUUUCAAAUUCUAGUUCUCUAAGAAGG
rnacentral:lncRNA from 1 species